UAUAUAUAUAUAAUUGAGUUAGAAUACUUUUAGAAGCACCAAUUCUUUGGUGCUUCUAGUUUUUAACCUUUGAAUUUACUCCUUCAUUACUAAUAGCCUUUAGAUCAAACACUAUUCCACAUACUACCACCUACCACCAUCAUCUUAGCCCUACAUCUCUCUAUCCAAUGGCUAAAAACUCAAAAGUACCACUCCCUUAGUGCUUUUAAGAGUAUUCUAGAUCAACUCUUUCUCUCUCUCUCUAUAUAUAGAACUAGGCUCGAAUACUAUUAAUAACACCAAUGACUUGGUGCUAUUAAGUUUUCUGCCUUUGAAUUAAAAGAUGUGCAGCUAGGAUGAUGUGGGCCCCCUAAGGUUGAGUGAGUGAUUGGUUGAAUAGUAUAAUCGAACGGAUGGAAAUAAUAAAAGAGCUAAAUCUAACAGCGGAAAACUUGAUAGCAUAAAAAAUUUUGUACUAUUGAUAGUAUCCUAACCGGACUAUAUAUAUAUAUAUAUAUAAUAAUAUUUUAUUUUUACUAUUAAAUAUAAACUAUAAUCCUAACAUAUAUAAUAUAAUAAUAAUUAUUAUAUAUCAAUAAUAUAUAAUAUAUGGAAUAAAAAAAUAAAUAUAUAAUAGUUUCCUAUUUAUAAUUUUUUUCUUUUCAGCCGAAAAAAAAAAAUCUCAAAUCAAACACUAGAGAGCGUAAAAUUUAUUUUCCUCUAUUUUUUUUUUCACAAAAUUUUUUUUAUACUUUUACGUGAAACCAAACACAUCCUUAACUUAAAAAAUAAAAGGUAAAUUACGCUUUUGGUCAUGAAACUAUAAAGCUCAUGAUACUUUGAUUCUCAAACUAUAAUUUAUAAUAAUUUGUCACUCAAACUUCUUAAAUUGUUGUAAUCAAAUCCGACAAUCCAAUGUUUUAAUUUUUCACUCGAACUUUUGAAUUGUUACAAUCAAGUCCGACAAUCUUUUUUUUUUUUUUUGAGAAAGAAUCCAAUUUAAUUUUUGUCAGAGAAAGAUGGUAUGCUACCUAUUUCGCUCGUUUUUUUUUUUUUAAAUGAACUCAGCUGAAAAUAUGAAAUAACUUAACUUCAAAUGUAGAACCUCAUGCUCUAUGUAAGAAACAAUCACUAACAAACCAAUUUAGUUGAUUAAAUAUCGACGUUCCACGUAUUAGUGAGAUGAAAGCGAUGUGGCAUAUUAAUCCUCACUCUAUCAUCAAUCAUAACACAACGGUCACACCAUUUUUAUGUUAGCAAUACGUGAGUAUUUGAUCAACUAAAUUAGAUUGCGAGAUUUGAUUAUAACAAUUUAAAAUUUUUAGUCAAAUAUUAUUAUAACGAAUUAAGAUUGGAGGACCAACUUGCGUGCACUCCCUUGUUUGGUUAGGGGUUAAGGGGUGGAAUAAUCCCUUAACCCCGAAUUUAUUUCCUAACAACAACAAAAAAGAGUGGGGUUAGCAAAUCCCAUCCCAAAUGGGCUAGUCCGGAAUAGCCCAUUUAGGGUGGGGUUAGUUAACCCCACCUGACCUAACCCCACCCCACCCUACUCCUCCAAUCAAACAAAAUACUAGUUUACCUACUAUUCUUCUUAUCAAAUCUAUUCCAAUCAAAUAUUAUUUUUCUUAAUUCUGAACUAACUCCAACCCCCAACCAAACACAAAAAUACUUUAACCCAUCUUAACCCUGAACUUAAUCAUAUUCCUGAAAUAAAAAUUUUUUCUUAACCCCGAACCAAACGGUACGUGACAUAGUUUAGCGACCA
rnacentral:lncRNA from 1 species